GCGAACGCUGGCGGCGUACUUAACACAUGCAAGUCGGACGCGGUGCCAGGGGGUGGAAACACUUCGUGGCGCUGAGUGGCGAACGGGUGAGUAACACGUGGGUGACCUGUCCCGGAGACCGGGAUACCCCUUCGAAAGGAGGGCUAAUACCGGGUACGGUCCCCUGGCUGCGAGGCCGGGGGAGGAGAGGGGGCUCGAAAGGGCACUCGCUCGGGGAGGGGCUCGCGGCCUAUCAGCUAGUUGGUGAGGUAAUGGCUCACCAAGGCGAUGACGGGUAGCUGGUCUGAGAGGACGACCAGCCACACGGGGACUGAGACACAGCCCCGACUCCUACGGGAGGCAGCAGUGGGGAAUUUUCCGCAAUGGGCGCAAGCCUGACGGAGUGACGCCGCGUGGGGGACGAAGGCCUUCGGGUCGUAAACCCCUGUCAGGAGGGAAGAAGGCGGGCGUGGUGAACAGCCACGGCCGUGGACGGUACCUUCAGAGGAAGCCCCGGCCAACUCUGUGCCAGCAGCCGCGGUAAGACAGAGGGGGCAAGCGUUGCUCGGAAUCACUGGGCGUAAAGGGCGCGUAGGCGGGCUCAUAAGUCGGUCGUGAAAUCUACGGGCUCAACCCGGAGGGGACGGCCGAGACUGUGGGUCUUGAGGGGAGCAGAGGAGUCUGGAAUUCCCGGUGUAGCGGUGAAAUGUGUAGAGAUCGGGAGGAACACCGGUGGCGAAGGCGGGGCUCUGGGCUCGACCUGACGCUGAGGCGCGAAAGCGUGGGGAGCAAACGGGAUUAGAUACCCCGGUAGUCCACGCGGUAAACGAUGACGACUAGGUGUGGGGGGGUCAGACCCUUCCGUGCCGGAGCUAACGCAUUAAGUCGUCCGCCUGGGGAGUACGGCCGCAAGGUUGAAACUCAAAGGAAUUGACGGGGGCCCGCACAAGCGGUGGAGCAUGUGGUUCAAUUCGACGCAACGCGAAGAACCUUACCUGGGCUCGAAGCGCAGUGGAAUCCGGUGGAAACAUCGGCGCCCGCAAGGGUCGCUGCGGAGGUGCUGCAUGGCUGUCGUCAGCUCGUGUCGUGAGAUGUUGGGUUAAGUCCCGCAACGAGCGCAACCCUUAUCGUUAGUUGCCAUCAGGUCAAGCUGGGCACUCUAGCGAAACCGCCUCGGAUAACGGGGAGGAAGGUGGGGAUGACGUCAAGUCCUCAUGGCCUUUAUGUCCAGGGCUACACACGUGCUACAAUGGAUCGGUACAAAGAGUUCGCAAUCCCGCGAGGGGGAGCUAAUCGGCAAAAAGCCGUGCUCAGUUCGGAUUGGCAGCUCUGCAACUCGAGUGCAUGAAGCUGGAAUCGCUAGUAAUCGCAGGAUCAGCACGCCUGCGGUGAAUACGUUCCCGGGCCUUGUACACACCGCCCGUCCACAUCACGAAAGUCGGUUGCUACUAGAAGUCGUUGGUCUAACCCGCAAGGGGGGCAGCCGCCUAAAGUGUGAUCAUGUAUUGGGGUG
rnacentral:rRNA from 1 species